ACAGUGGAAAGGACACACUCCAUUGCUGCCCAGAUGCCUUUGCCUGGGACUGGAUGUGGUUCAUUUCCUGGGCUGUCCAAGUGCUCCAAGAGGGCCUCAAGGAAACUGCCUCCAAGACUGACACCUAUUUCCUUAACCAGCUGUGGACACUGGAGUUCCAAACUCACCAUGAAACACACUGGAAGGCAUGGAUCUCUGUUAUCCUCCCUUCUGCCAUCAAAUGGAUGUGCUUUUUGGAUAUUGCUUCACUACAGAGGCUGUCGUGUGCCAGAGCCUGCUCACAGGAUCCCAAACCAUGUCAGAAUUCCAUGGCAUCUCCUGGCCUCAGGUGCAGCUCCAGGACACUUUCCCAUUAUUGCUGAGACCCUCAGGCCCUUUGUUGAUGAGAAGGCUGCUGGCAGAGACACACCUGCAGGAUCUAUGAACUCUUACUGAGGCUGAGAUCAGGCACCACCAGAAGAGCUGGGUGCCUGCACAGCCACAGGACUUCAUUGCUGCAUGCCUGAAUGAGAUGUUAAAGGUAACUAGUAAUUGUCUCUUAGGCAGCUGCUACAUAUUUCAAAUGCUUCUAGUUAAAGUAAUGCCAGCAGCACUCCUCCUUCCUCUCCUCCUUCCUGAGAGACCGUCAAGCUAUUUCUUUCUUUGAA